UCCUACGGGAGGCAGCAGUAGGGAAUCUUCCGCAAUGGGCGAAAGCCUGACGGAGCAACGCCGCGUGAGUGAUGAAGGUCUUCGGGUCGUAAAACUCUGUUAUUAGGGAAGAACAAAUGUGUAAGUAACUAUGCACGUCUUGACGGUACCUAAUCAGAAAGCCACGGCUAACUACGUGCCAGCAGCCGCGGUAAUACGUAGGUGGCAAGCGUUAUCCGGAAUUAUUGGGCGUAAAGCGCGCGUAGGCGGUUUUUUAAGUCUGAUGUGAAAGCCCACGGCUCAACCGUGGAGGGUCAUUGGAAACUGGAAAACUUGAGUGCAGAAGAGGAAAGUGGAAUUCCAUGUGUAGCGGUGAAAUGCGCAG
rnacentral:rRNA from 1 species